rnacentral:rRNA from 1 species
AGAGUUUGAUCCUGGCUCAGGAUGAACGCUGGCGGCGUGCCUAAUACAUGCAAGUCGAACGAAGCGAUUUGGGAAAUUUAUUUUUCAGAUUGACUGAGUGGCGAACGGAUGAGUAAGACAUAAGUAAUCUGCCGUAAAGACUGGGAUAACUUUGAGAAAUUAAAGCUAAGACCGGAUAGGAAUUAUUGAGGCAUCUUAAUAAUUUUAAAGGGGCUUAUGGCCUUGUUAUACGAUGAGCUUAUGGCGCAUUAGCUAGUUGGUAAGGUAAUGGCUUACCAAGGCGAUGAUGCGUAGCCGGCCUGAGAGGGUGACCGGCCACACUGGGACUGAGACACGGCCCAGACUCCUACGGGAGGCAGCAGUAGGGAAUUUUCGGCAAUGGGGGCAACCCUGACCGAGCGACGCCGCGUGAGUGAAGACGGUCUUCGGAUUGUAAAGCUCUGUUAUCAGGGAAGAAUAAGGUUAUCAGGAAAUGGAUAAUCGAUGACGGUACCUGAUCAGAAAGCCACGGCUAACUACGUGCCAGCAGCCGCGGUAAUACGUAGGUGGCGAGCGUUAUCCGGAAUUAUUGGGCGUAAAGGGUGCGUAGGCGGUUAUUUAAGUUUAAGGUUAAAGUUCAGGGCUCAACCCUGUGAUGCCUUAGAAACUGGAUAGCUAGAGUACAGGAGAGGUUAGUGGAAUUCCAUGUGUAGCGGUAAAAUGCGUAGAUAUAUGGAGGAACACCAGUGGCGAAGGCGGCUAACUGGCCUGUAACUGACGCUCAGGCACGAAAGCGUGGGGAGCAAAUAGGAUUAGAUACCCUAGUAGUCCACGCUGUAAACGAUGAGUGCUAGGUGUUGGGGGUCAAACCUCGGUGCCGCAGUUAACGCAUUAAGCACUCCGCCUGGGGAGUACGUUCGCAAGAAUAAAACUCAAAGGAAUUGACGGGGACCCGCACAAGCAGCGGAGCAUGUGGUUUAAUUCGAAGCAACGCGAAGAACCUUACCUGGAUUUGACAUCCCUCUGACCGUCUCUUAAUCGAGAUUUUCCCUUCGGGGACAGAGAAGACAGGUGGUGCAUGGUUGUCGUCAGCUCGUGUCGUGAGAUGUUGGGUUAAGUCCCGCAACGAGCGCAACCCUUGUCUUUAGUUGCCAUCAAGUAAAGUUGGGCACUCUAAAGAGACUGCCAAGGUAAACUUGGAGGAAGGUGGGGAUGACGUCAAAUCAUCAUGCCCUUUAUGUCCAGGGCUACACACGUGCUACAAUGGCCGAUACAACGGGCAGCUAAGGAGCAAUCCGGAGCAAAUCCUACAAAAUCGGUCCCAGUUCGGAUUGUGGGCUGAAAUUCGCCCACAUGAAGUCGGAGUUGCUAGUAAUCGCGAAUCAGCAUGUCGCGGUGAAUGCGUUCCCGGGUCUUGUACUCACCGCCCGUCA